rnacentral:rRNA from 1 species
AGAGUUUGAUCCUGGCUCAGGAUGAACGCUGGCGGCAUGCCUAACACAUGCAAGUCGAACGGGGUUUAUAUGACGGAACUCUCCGGAGGGAAGAUAUAUAAACCUAGUGGCGGACGGGUGAGUAACGCGUGGGCAACCUGCCCUGUACCGGGGGACAACAGCCAGAAAUGGCUGCUAAUACCGCAUAAGCCUGCUGUGCCGCAUGGCGCAGCAGGGAAAACCACGGUGGUACAGGAUGGGCCCGCGUCUGAUUAGUUAGUUGGCAGGGUAACGGCCUACCAAGACAACGAUCAGUAGCCGGCUUGAGAGAGUGGACGGCCACAUUGGGACUGAGACACGGCCCAGACUCCUGCGGGAGGCAGCAGUGGGGAAUAUUGCACAAUGGGGGGAACCCUGAUGCAGCAAUGCUGCGUGGGUGAAGAAGCACUCCGGUGCGUAAAGCCCUGUCAGCAGGGAAGAAAAUGACAGUACCUGGACAAGAAGCCCCGGCUAACUACGUGCCAGCAGCCGCGGUAAUACGUAGGGGGCAAGCGUUAUCCGGAUUUACUGGGUGUAAAGGGAGCGCAGGCGGCGUGGCAAGUCAGAUGUGAAAACCCGGGGCCCAACCCCGGGAGUGCAUUUGAAACUGCCAUGCUGGAGUGCCGGAGAGGUAAGCGGAAUUCCUAGUGUAGCGGUGAAAUGCGUAGAUAUUAGGAGGAACACCAGUGGCGGAGGCGGCUUACUGGACGGUAACUGACGCUGAGGCUCGAAAGCGUGGGGAACAAACAGGAUUAGAUACCCGGGUAGUCCCCGCCGGAAAACAAUGAAUACUAGGGACCGGGGCACAAAAGUGCUUCUGUGCCCCCACCUAACGCAAAAAAUAUUUCCCCCCUGGGGAAGUACGUUCCCCAAAAAAUGAAACCUCAAAGGAAAUUGACGGGGA